AUACUUACCUGGCAGGGGAAACACCAUGAUCACGAAGGUGGUUUUCCCAGGGCGAGGCUAACCCAUUGCACUGCGGGUGUGCUGACCUCUGCGAUUUCCCGAAAUGCGGGAAACUCGG
rnacentral:snRNA from 1 species